AAUCAAUCAAUCAAUCAAUUUUUAUUUGUAUAGUGUCAACUCAUAAUAAGUGUUAUCUCGAGACACUUUACAAAAAGCAGGUAAAAUACCUUACUCAUUGUCUUUUAACAUUACAAAAGAGCAGGUAAAAGACCUUACUCAUUGUUAUGUUACAAAAGAGCAGGUAAAAAGACCUUACUCAUUGUUAUGUUACAAAAAGCAGGUAAAAGACCUUACUCAUUGUUAUGUUACAAAAGAGCAGGUAAAAGACCUUACAUAUUGUUAUGUUACAAAAAGCAGGUAAAAGAUCUUACUUAUUGCUAUAUUACAAAGACCCGGCCUAUCCAUCAUGAGCA